rnacentral:rRNA from 1 species
GAUGAACGCUGGCGGCGUGCCUAAUACGUGCAAGUCGAGCGAACGGACGAGAAGCUUGCUUCUCUGAUGUUAGCGGCGGACGGGUGAGUAACACGUGGAUAACCUACCUAUAAGGCUGGGAUAACUUCGGGAAACCGGAGCUAAUACCGGAUAAUAUUUUGAACCGCAUGGUUCAAAAGUGAAAGACGGUCUUGCUGUCACUUAUAGAUGGAUCCGCGCUGCAUUAGCUAGUUGGUAAGGUAACGGCUUACCAAGGCAACGAUGCAUAGCCGACCUGAGAGGGUGAUCGGCCACACUGGAACUGAGACACGGUCCAGACUCCUACGGGAGGCAGCAGUAGGGAAUCUUCCGCAAUGGGCGAAAGCCUGACGGAGCAACGCCGCGUGAGUGAUGAAGGUCUUCGGAUCGUAAAACUCUGUUAUUAGGGAAGAACAUAUGUGUAAGUAACUGUGCACAUCUUGACGGUACCUAAUCAGAAAGCCACGGCUAACUACGUG